rnacentral:rRNA from 1 species
GACGAACGCUGGCGGCGUGCCUAAUACAUGCAAGUUGAGCGCUGAAGGUUGGUACUUGUACCAACUGGAUGAGCAGCGAACGGGUGAGUAACGCGUGGGGAAUCUGCCUUUGAGCGGGGGACAACAUUUGGAAACGAAUGCUAAUACCGCAUAAAAACUUUAAACACAAGUUUUAAGUUUGAAAGAUGCAAUUGCAUCACUCAAAGAUGAUCCCGCGUUGUAUUAGCUAGUUGGUGAGGUAAAGGCUCACCAAGGCGAUGAUACAUAGCCGACCUGAGAGGGUGAUCGGCCACAUUGGGACUGAGACACGGCCCAAACUCCUACGGGAGGCAGCCGUAGGGAAUCUUCGGCAAUGGACGAAAGUCUGACCGAGCAACGCCGCGUGAGUGAAGAAGGUUUUCGGAUCGUAAAACUCUGUUGGUAGAGAAGAACGUUGGUGAGAGUGGAAAGCUCAUCAAGUGACGGUAACUACCCAGAAAGGGACGGCUAACUACGUG